GGGCGUUAAGAUGCAGGGUAUAGACCCGAAACCCGGUGAUCUAGCCAUGGGCAGGUUGAAGGUUGGGUAACACUAACUGGAGGACCGAACCGACUAAUGUUGAAAAAUUAGCGGAUGACCUGUGGCUGGGGGUGAAAGGCCAAUCAAACCGGGAGAUAGCUGGUUCUCCCCGAAAGCUAUUUAGGUAGCGCCUCGUGAAUUCAUCUCCGGGGGUAGAGCACUGUUUCGGCUAGGGGGCCAUCCCGGCUUACCAACCCGAUGCAAACUGCGAAUACCGGAGAAUGUUAUCACGGGAGACACACGGCGGGUGCUAACGUCCGUCGUGAAGAGGGAAACAACCCAGACCGCCAGCUAAGGUCCCAAAGUCAUGGUUAAGUGGGAAACGAUGUGGGAAGGCCCAGACAGCCAGGAUGUUGGCUUAGAAGCAGCCAUCAUUUAAAGAAAGCGUAAUAGCUCACUGGUCGAGUCGGCCUGCGCGGAAGAUGUAACGGGGCUAAACCAUGCACCGAAGCUGCGGCAGCGAACGUAUCACUUAAAGCGAUUCAGCGGGUUACGAUUGACGGAGCGAAGCGACGUCAAAGCGUAUACAAAGUCGAGUCGGUUUAAGGAUACGUUCGUUGGGUAGGGGAGCGUUCUGUAAGCCUGUGAAGGUGGCCUGUGAGGGUUGCUGGAGGUAUCAGAAGUGCGAAUGCUGACAUAAGUAACGAUAAAGCGGGUGAAAAG
rnacentral:rRNA from 1 species